UACGUAGGGGGCAAGCGUUGUCCGGAUUCAUUGGGCGUAAAGAGCGUGUAGGCGGCCAGGUAGGUCGGUUGUGAAAACUGGAGGCUCAACCUUCAGAGGUCGACCGAAACCAUCUGGCUAGAGUCCGGGAGAGGAGAGUGGAAUUCCCUGGUGGUAGCGGUGAAAUGCGCAGAGUAUCAGGAGGAACACCGGUGGCGAAGGCGGCCUGCUGGGCAGUAGCUGACGCUGAAGCGCGACAGCGUGGGGAGCAAACAGG
rnacentral:rRNA from 1 species